GAUGAACGCUCGCGGCAGGCCUAAUACAUGCAAGUCGAACGGGAUCCAGAUCAAAGCUUGCUUUGGUCUGGUGAGAGUGGCGCACGGGUGCGUAACGCGUGAGCAACCUACCCUUGUCAGGGGGAUAGCCCGGCGAAAGUCGGAUUAAUACCGCAUGACAUCAUUGAGAGGCAUCUUUCGAUGAUCAAAGAUUUAUCGGACAAGGAUGGGCUCGCGUGACAUUAGCUCGUUGGUAAGGUAACGGCCUACCAAGGCUGCGAUGUCUAGGGGCUCUGAGAGGAGAAUCCCCCACACUGGUACUGAGACACGGACCAGACUCCUACGGGAGGCAGCAGUAAGGAAUAUUGGUCAAUGGACGGAAGUCUGAACCAGCCAUGCCGCGUGCAGGAGGACGGCCCUAUGGGUUGUAAACUGCUUUUAUACGGGAACAAACGUCGGUACGUGUACCGGUCUGAGUGUACCGUAAGAAUAAGAAUCGGCUAACUCCGUG
rnacentral:rRNA from 1 species